rnacentral:rRNA from 1 species
CCUUAAAACUGUUAGACGGAUAGCUUGGUUCGAGUUGCGAUGAUGGACGCGGCAAGCUGCGAUAAGCUCGAGGGAGAUGCAUGCGAUUUUUGAUCUCGAGAUUUCCUAAUGCGACAACGCAUUCUUUAGAAUAUGCCGAGAGGCAAGUGUACCCAGGGAAUUGAAACAUCUUAGUACCUGGAGGAAAAGAAAACAAAUAGUGAUUCCCCAAAUAAUGGCGAAUGAAAAGGGAAUAGGGCAAGCUGAAUCUGCUCUUGAAAGAGAGUUAGAGAUGUGGUGAAGAUAACUGCUAAGUGCAAACAUCAAAGUCACCUGGAAAGGUGUACCGCAGAGGGUGAUAGUCCCGUAGAUGAAAGCAUACACAGUUCUUCAAAAAGAGUAGGGCUUCCUGGAUUGGAGGUCUGAAUAUGGCAGGAUGAACUGCUAACCCUAAAUAUCAACUCGAGUCCGAUAGUGUACAAGUACCGCGAGGGAAAGCUGAAAAGUACUCUUAUCAGAGAGUUAAAAGACUUGAAAUCUAACAGUUACAGUUUGUUACGGCAUUACGGUGUUGUAACGUACGUUUAGAAAAAUGGGCCAGGGAUUUAUUUUUUGUGGCGAGGUUAAUUCGAGAAGCCGAAGCGAAAGCGAGUGUGAAAGCGCGAAAGUCACGGGAAUUAGACCCGAAGCUAGAUGAUCUAAUCAUGAGCAAGGCGAAGUCUUUAGAAAUAGGGAUGGAGGCCUGAACCGUUAUUGUGUACAUGCAUUUGGAUGACUUGUGAUUAGGGGUGAAAAGCCUAUCUAAUCUAGCGAUGGCUGGUUCCAGUCGAAAUAUGCCUAAGUAUAGUCUUGUCUAGUUUGUGUACGAGGUAAAGUACGGAUAGAAUUUGCAGAGCUUAACAGCUACGGGAUUCGUUCCAACUCAGAAUUUGUACACUGCGUAAGACAGGAAACGGGGGCAGGGCGUAAGGUCCUGUUCCGAAACCCGAACAAGGGAGACUGAAGUUAAGGUCCCAAAGUAUAUGCUAAGUGUAGUGAAAGGUGUCUUGAACCUGAGACAUCAGGGAGGUAGGCCCAGAAGCAGCCACCCUUUAAAGAAAGCGUAACAGCUCACCUGUCGAGGUUCGAGGCCCUGAAAAUGGACGGGGCUAAGCAUAUCACCGAUACUUUAGAGGCACUCAGAUGAGUGUUCUGGUAGACUGGCGUACUCUUUGCGCAGAAGCAUUCCCGAGAGGGUGUGUGGAGCGAAGAGUAAUGCAAAUCCUGGCAGGAGUAGGAUCGUAUUAUUUUGAGAAUAAAUAAGGCCGCAAGAGCACGGUUUCCUUAGCGCUAUAUGUUAUCUAAGGGUUAGUCAGCACCUAAGAUAUUUCUUAACCGAAAAUAUCGAUGGACAUCAGGUUAAUAUUCCUGAACUGUUUGUGUUUGUUAUGACAUGAGAUUGCUUCCGGAUAAGCGAGGUCGCGAAAGUGGCUUUGAUGCAGAAGAUAGUGGAGUGUAAUGCUAAAAUGCUAUCGAAUGUAUUGACGAAAAUCGUUGAUUCCAGGAGUCAGUGAAAAGUCUCGUGUAUAGAAUGCAAGCAGCUGUACUAAGAACCGGCACUGGUGCUCUGGCUUAGUAGGCUAAGGCCUGUAAGGGAUAAAUUGAUUAAGGGAAUUCGGCACAUUGGCCCCGUAUCUUCGGUAGAAGGGGUGUCUAUAUAUGUCUCUGAUUUAUUAGAGGCAUAAGUAGAUCGCAGUGACUAGGACUGCCCGACUGUUUAUCAAAAACGUAGCCGAAUGCUAAUCCGAAAGGACGUGUAUAUUCGGUGAGACCUGUCCAGUGGUGGUGUCUGAAACUCCUUUUCAAGGGAGCUAAUGCCCAUCAAACGGCGGGGGGAACUAUGACCCUCUUAAGGUUUGUUACAAAGCUUUACAUUUUACAGAAAUGUAAAAUGCUCCAAGAGUUAUAGUUAGAUAAACAAAUGUUGAAUUAAACCAUGGAGAAAAUUUGGCUAUAUGCUGGAAACUCUCGUUGAAGCAAAAUAGGCUAUUAUCGUCGUGAGAUGAUAACGAACCCUAAAAAUUUUUGUGGAGAGACAAUCAGCAGGAAAGACUAGAAUUGAUUUUAGUUGAAAUAAGAAAAUAUUUAAACAAUAUAUUCUUUAUUGAAAUAUGAAUUUCAAAAUUACUAAAUUAAAGAUAAUAAGUUCUUUAAUAAUUUCAAUAAUUUUCGGAAUUGUUAUAUAUUUUACAACUAAUACUUGUUUUGGAGAAUGUCCAAAAUUAGAAUUCAUAGAAUUAAUUAAUAGAAUAUUACAAUUUUUUGUUGUUCCAUUUUUAGUUUUAUUUGUUUUAAUUUAUAUUAUUUGGAGUUUAAUCCAAAAGAAAAAAAUUCUAGAAUCCUCAGAGACUAUACGCCAAACACGAAAGUGAAGAUAUAGUCCGAACUGCAUGGCGACAUGCAGAGCUUUACAGAAAUGAUAAAGCCCUCGAGAAAUCGAGAGUAACAAAAUUGAGCGUAAUACCUUGUCAUUUGAUUGAUGACUUGCAUGAAUGGUUUAAUGAGGUGGUCGCUGUCCCUAAUCAAAACCUUCUGAAAGCACUGACCGGUGAAAAGGCCGGUGACACCAAGUGGGAAGCUAAGACCUUGUGGACCUUUACUGCAGCAUGUUGUUGUUAUCAUGUGAAUGAUGCAUAGUAUAAGUGGGAGCGUUGAAGCCAUUGCUCUGGCGAUGGUGGAGCAUCCGUGUAAUACCACUCACCAUUUAUGUGUUAACUUACUCUCUUUAUGAGGGAACAGCAGCUUGUGGGCAGUUUGGCUGGGGCGGCACCCUGCAGAAAAUAUAUCUGUAGGGCACAAAGAUGAGCUCAUCCAGGGCGGAAAUCUGGAGUUGAGUGCAAGAGCAAAAGCUCAUCUGACUGUAUUUCGAACAGCAAGAAAUGCAGGAACGAAAGUUGGUUCUAGCGAACCUUCGAGAACUUUUCAUAGGUUCCGAAUGUGACAGAAAAGGUACCCCAAGGAUAACAGGCUUGUCGCGCCCGAUAGUCCGUAUUGACGGCGCGGUUUGGUACAUCGCUGUCGGCUCUUCCUAACCUGGAUGUGUACAAGCAUCCAAGGGUGUCGGAGUUCACGCAUUAAAAGGGAUCGUUAGCUGGGUUAAGUACGUCGUGAGACAGUAUGUAUGAUAUCUACUAGAUGUGUUGUUGAUUGAGUGGAAGGACCCUCCAGUACGAGAGGAACGUGGGUUCGGAGUCUCUGGUCUACCAGUUGUUAUGAGCAGGCUGGGCAGCUACACUCUAUCCGAUAAGUGCUGAAAGCAUCUAAGCACGAAGCGGACCGCAAAACGAAUCAACAUAAGCCGCAGUAAAAGACUGCGUUGAUAG